GAUGAACGCUGGCGGCGUGCCUAAUACAUGCAAGUCGAGCGAACAGACGAGGAGCUUGCUCCUUUGACGUUAGCGGCGGACGGGUGAGUAACACGUGGGUAACCUACCUAUAAGACUGGGAUAACUUCGGGAAACCGGAGCUAAUACCGGAUAAUAUUUCGAACCGCAUGGUUCGAUAGUGAAAGAUGGAUCUGCUAUCACUUAUAGAUGGACCUGCGCCGUAUUAGCUAGUUGGUAAGGUAACGGCUUACCAAGGCAACGAUACGUAGCCGACCUGAGAGGGUGAUCGGCCAAACUGGAACUGGGACACGGUCCAGAGUCCUACGGGAGACAGCAGUAGGGAAUCUUCCGCAAUGGGCGAAAGCCUGACGGAGCAACGCCGCGUGAGUGAUGAAGGUCUUCGGAUCGUAAAACUCUGUUAUUAGGGAAGAACAAACGUGUAAGUGACUGUGCACGUCUUGACGGUACCUAAUCAGAAAGCCACGGCUAACUACGUGCCAGCCGCCGCCGUAA
rnacentral:rRNA from 1 species